rnacentral:rRNA from 2 species
GAUAACUCCGGGAAACCGGGGCUAAUACCGGAUAACAUCUAGCACCUCCUGGUGCCGGAUUAAAAGAGGGCUUCUUGCUCUCACGAUGAGAUGGGCCCGCGGCGCAUUAGCUAGUUGGAGAGGUAACGGCUCCCCAAGGCGACGAUGCGUAGCCGACCUGAGAGGGUGAUCGGCCACACUGGGACUGAGACACGGCCCAGACUCCUACGGGAGGCAGCAGUAGGGAAUCUUCCGCAAUGGACGAAAGUCUGACGGAGCAACGCCGCGUGAGUGAUGAAGGGUUUCGGCUCGUAAAGCUCUGUUAUGAGGGAAGAACACGUACCGUUCGAAUAGGGCGGUACCUUGACGGUACCUCAUCAGAAAGCCACGGCUAACUACGUGCCAGCAGCCGCGGUAAUACGUAGGUGGCAAGCGUUGUCCGGAAUUAUUGGGCGUAAAGCGCGCGCAGGCGGCCUUUUAAGUCUGAUGUGAAAUCUUGCGGCUCAACCGCAAGCGGCCAUUGGAAACUGGGAGGCUUGAGUACAGAAGAGGAGAGUGGAAUUCCACGUGUAGCGGUGAAAUGCGUAGAUAUGUGGAGGAACACCAGUGGCGAAGGCGACUCUCUGGUCUGUAACUGACGCUGAGGCGCGAAAGCGUGGGGAGCAAACAGGAUUAGAUACCCUGGUAGUCCACGCCGUAAACGAUGAGUGCUAGGUGUUAGGGGUUUCGAUGCCCGUAGUGGGAAACUGGGAGGCUUGAGUACAGAAGAGGAGAGUGGAAUUCCACGUGUAGCGGUGAAAUGCGUAGAUAUGUGGAGGAACACCAGUGGCGAAGGCGACUCUCUGGUCUGUAACUGACGCUGAGGCGCGAAAGCGUGGGGAGCAAACAGGAUUAGAUACCCUGGUAGUCCACGCCGUAAACGAUGAGUGCUAGGUGUUAGGGGUUUCGAUGCCCGUAGUGCCGAAGUUAACACAUUAAGCACUCCGCCUGGGGAGUACGGCCGCAAGGCUGAAACUCAAAGGAAUUGACGGGGGCCCGCACAAGCAGUGGAGCAUGUGGUUUAAUUCGAAGCAACGCGAAGAACCUUACCAGGUCUUGACAUCCUUUGACCACUCUGGAGACAGAGCUUCCCCUUCGGGGGCAAAGUGACAGGUGGUGCAUGGUUGUCGUCAGCUCGUGUCGUGAGAUGUUGGGUUAAGUCCCGCAACGAGCGCAACCCUUGACCUUAGUUGCCAGCAUUUAGUUGGGCACUCUAAGGUGACUGCCGGUGACAAACCGGAGGAAGGUGGGGAUGACGUCAAAUCAUCAUGCCCCUUAUGACCUGGGCUACACACGUGCUACAAUGGAUGGUACAAAGGGUUGCGAAGCCGCGAGGUGAAGCCAAUCCCAUAAAGCCAUUCUCAGUUCGGAUUGUAGGCUGCAACUCGCCUGCAUGAAGCUGGAAUUGCUAGUAAUCGCGGAUCA